GCAGUAGCCGUGGGGAAGUUUUCGCAAUGGCCGCCGGAACGGUCGCCGGCCGAUGCUCUCUGCGACGGAAAGAAAGCCGCCGGACCCACUUCCGGUGCGUUUUACAAUGAACUCCGGGCACUCGAGUCGCUCCCCGGAAACUAUAGUUCUGCUUCCACCGUUGUCCUACUUUGGAUAGAUGGGGUCUUGCUCUGUCACCUAGGCUGGAGUGCAGUAGCAUGAUAUGGCUCACUGCAGCCUCAAACUUGUGGGCUUAAGCGAUCCUCCUGCCUGCCUUCUGAGUAGCUAGGACUACAGAGCAUCAAGACAAAAAUCUCAGUCUUCGAGGAACUCACAGUGUAGCAGAAAAGACAAAGGAGGUAAACAGGAGGAGCAUGAAUAAUUCAUCUUGAUGUAAUCAUGCAAGACUCCUAAGAAGAUGUUAGGAGACCCUGUCAUCAUUCUUUUGGCCUCUAGUGUCCUUUAUCUUCAUGUUUGCUGGCUUCCUUUUACUACUAUGGAAAUACAACAUAUGCAAAAGUAGUGUUUUCACUGUUUAAAAACAUCGUCAGCAGCAUCAUCAUCAUUAACUGCACCAGGAAGCCAUGACUCCUUUCUGGACAAGGUGCACUUGCCUGUCAUCCUUCCAUCUCUUUCUUCCUCCUUGAAGUUCACAAUACCCAGUCCAGGAGCAUUGCAGAGAAUGCUAGGUGUGUCUGCAGACUUGACUUUAAAAGAAAACAAGUUCCUUCAAGUGAGUUCAUCAUGAUGGGAAUGAUAAUUUGUUUGAGAGAAUGUGUGUUCUUUGGCAAAGGAACUCCUGUUAUACCAUGACAGUAAUAAUAGCAGUAAUAAAAUCACCAAUAAUAAAUUUACUUUUGAAUUUA